rnacentral:misc_RNA from 1 species
UCUCCGUAGGUGAACCUGCGGAGGGAUCAUUACAGAGUUCGUGCCCUCACGGGUAGAUCUCCCACCCUGUGCCGUCGUUACCUUUGUUGCUUUGGCGGGCCGCCGCCCGGCCGCCGGCUCACGCUGGCGCGCGCCCGCCAGAGGACCUCAACUCUUGUUUUUUAGUGUCGUCUGAGUACUAUACAAUCGUUAAAACUUUCAACAACGGAUCUCUUGGUUCUG